rnacentral:lncRNA from 10 species
AGUAGAGGAGGAGCCAAGAUGGCCAAAUAGGAACAGCUCCGGUCUACGGCUCCCAGCGUGAGAGAUGCAAAAGACGGGUGAUUUCUGCAUUUCCAUCAGAGUUUCAAGUAAAAAUGAAAAUCUCAACCGUGUCAUUAUUCAUGCCAAGCCUUAAACCUGGAUCAAGCUUUUCUAUCUAAUGUCACUCAUCAAAGACAAUUGUAAAUCCUUCAUCUACCUUAUCUUAUCUAAUACUCACAAAAACAAAGGGUGAUAUGGCAGAGACAGUUACAGUGCUCACCAAUGACUGCAAAAUGUCCGCAUCUCCCAGCCUCACUUGCAGAUAGAUGGGGACCAUGGAACUAGUUCCCACCAAAGAACUAUGAGUAGAAAUAGCAUGUGUCUGGAGCCAAAGAAGUUAAAAGCUGACAUGCCUCCUCCAUCCCUCUUUUCUCCUGCAAUAAUUAUCUUGGCUUGGAAGCCACAAGAGAAGAUGAGCUGACAGAUCCACACUGGAAUCUACAAGAGUGAAAAAUAUAAUUUCAUUGUGUUAAACCACUAAGAUUUCAGAAUUUGUCUGUUAUAACAGCAUAGCCUAUCCUGUCCUGACAAACAUAGAUAAUAUUUGGAAUAUGUAAUAACUAGUACAGAACAGGCACUAACAUAUUAGAAUGAAUGCAAUGACCAAUGAAUGAACGUCAUCGGCUGUACAUGACUGACAUGGCCAUAUGAGUCCAUACCAGUUAAAUAGCGAUGAAAACAACUCUACAAAUUUAUCCCAGUUUUAUAAUUGAUGAAACAGAAGCAUUGAGAGCUUGCCUAAGACAAUGACUUGUAAAUGGCAGAGUAGGAAUUCAAAUCAGCUGUUUGAUACAUAGACCAUUCUCUUUCUAUCUCAACAUUCUGCUUCCUACUUGUUGAAUGAUGCCUAAAUUACCCGAACAAUUAAUUCAUCAUGACUGCAGUAGAAGUGUCCGAAUACUUCAUUGUUUAUUUAAACCAUAGGGCAUGGUCCAAUCGUAUAUGUUUAUUCUUGUUGAAUUUUCUGUAACUUGAACUCAUUCUUGCCUCUGUAUAGGAUGUCAGUAUUAUAUUUUGCUUUUCCUUUCAAA